UGGGGGAUAUUGCACAAUGGGGGAAACCCUGAUGCAGCGACGCCGCGUGAGGGAAGAAGGUUUUCGGAUUGUAAACCUCUGUCUUCGGUGACGAAAAUGACGGUAGCCGAGGAGGAAGCCACGGCUAACUACGUGCCAGCAGCCGCGGUAAUACGUAGGUGGCAAGCGUUGUCCGGAAUUACUGGGUGUAAAGGGAGCGUAGGCGGGAGAGCAAGUCGAUUGUCUAAACUAUGGGCUCAACCCAUAGUCGCGAUCGAAACUGUUUUUCUUGAGUGAAGUAGAGGUAAGCGGAAUUCCUAGUGUAGCGGUGAAAUGCGUAAAUAUUAGGAGGAACACCAGUGGCGAAGGCGGCUUACUGGGCUUUAACUGACGCUGAGGCUCGAAAGCGUGGGUAGCAAACAGG
rnacentral:rRNA from 1 species